rnacentral:tRNA from 1 species
GAAUGUAGUUUAAUGGUAAAACGUGGCCUUCCCAAGGCUAAGUCGAGGGUUCGAUUCCCUUCAUCCG